rnacentral:rRNA from 1 species
ACAGGGAUUGCCUUAGUAACGGCGAGUGAAGCGGCAAAAGCUCAAAUUUGAAAUCUGGCACCUUCGGUGUCCGAGUUGUAAUUUGAAGAAGGUAACUUUGGAGUUGGCUCUUGUCUAUGUUCCUUGGAACAGGACGUCACAGAGGGUGAGAAUCCCGUGCGAUGAGAUGCCCAAUUCUAUGUAAAGUGCUUUCGAAGAGUCGAGUUGUUUGGGAAUGCAGCUCUAAGUGGGUGGUAAAUUCCAUCUAAAGCUAAAUAUUGGCGAGAGACCGAUAGCGAACAAGUACAGUGAUGGAAAGAUGAAAAGAACUUUGAAAAGAGAGUGAAAAAGUACGUGAAAUUGUUGAAAGGGAAGGGCUUGAGAUCAGACUUGGUAUUUUGCGAUCCUUUCCUUCUUGGUUGGGUUCCUCGCAGCUUACUGGGCCAGCAUCGGUUUGGAUGGUAGGAUAAUGACUAAGGAAUGUGGCUCUACUUCGGUGGAGUGUUAUAGCCUUGGUUGAUACUGCCUGUCUAGACCGAGGACUGCGUCUUUUGACGAGGAUGU